GAUGUUUUCUUCAGUAUUGUGCAAAACUGAAACUAUACAGAGAAGAUUAGUGUGGUCCCUAUGCAAGGGUGAUGGGCAACAUUGUGAAAUAUUUCAUAUUUUU